rnacentral:misc_RNA from 1 species
GAUGAAGAACGUAGCGAAAUGCGAUACGUAAUGUGAAUUGCAGAAUUCAGUGAAUCAUCGAAUCUUUGAACGCAUAUUGCGCUCUCUGGUAUUCCGGAGAGCAUGCUUGUUUGAGUAUCAGUAAACACCUCAACUCCCCUUUCUUUUUUUGAAAUGGGAGCUGGACUUGAGUGAUCCCAACGCUUUUCUCACCGAAAAGUGGCGGGUUACUUGAAAUGCAGGUGCAGCUGGACUUUUCUCUGAGCUAAAAGCAUAUCUAUUUAGUCUGCCUAAAAAACAGAUUAUUACCUUUGCUGCAGCUAACAUAAAGGAGAUUAGUUCUUGUGCUGACUGAUGCAGGAUUCACAGAGACAGCUUCGGCUGGCCUUUGUAAACUCGAUCUCAAAUCAAGUAAGACUACCCGCUGAACUUAAGCAUAUCAAUAAGCGGAGA